GACGUAGGGUGCGAGCGUUGUCCGGAUUUACUGGGCGUAAAGAGCGCGUAGGCGGUCUGUUAAGUGUGAAGUGAAAUCUCCAGGGCUCAACCCGGAAACUGCUUCGCAUACUGGCAGACUGGAGGGAUGCAGAGGUGAGUGGAAUUCCUGGUGUACCGGUGAAAUGGGUAGAUAUCAGGAGGAACACCCGUGGCGAAGGCGGGUCUCUGGGCCGAUACUGACGCUCAUGUGCGAAAGCGUGGGAGCAACAGGAUAGAUAC
rnacentral:rRNA from 1 species